AUUGAACGCUGGCGGCAUGCCUUACACAUGCAAGUCGAACGGCAGCACGGGUGCUUGCACCUGGUGGCGAGUGGCGAACGGGUGAGUAAUACAUCGGAACAUGUCCUGUAGUGGGGGAUAGCCCGGCGAAAGCCGGAUUAAUACCGCAUACGAUCCACGGAUGAAAGCGGGGGACCUUCGGGCCUCGCGCUAUAGGGUUGGCCGAUGGCUGAUUAGCUAGUUGGUGGGGUAAAGGCCUGCCAAGGCGACGAUCAGUAGCUGGUCUGAGAGGACGACCAGCCACACUGGGACUGAGACACGGCCCAGACUCCUACGGGAGGCAGCAGUGGGGAAUUUUGGACAAUGGGCGAAAGCCUGAUCCAGCAAUGCCGCGUGUGUGAAGAAGGCCUUCGGGUUGUAAAGCACUUUUGUCCGGAAAGAAAUCCUUGACUCUAAUACAGUCGGGGGAUGACGGUACCGGAAGAAUAAGCACCGGCUAACUACGUG
rnacentral:rRNA from 1 species